CUCAUCUCACGAGUAGACACUCAUGGGCACCGCAGGCGGAACCUCGCACCGCGGCAGCCCUGGAAUACUACCGUCCAAAAAUUGCCCGGCUACCUCCCGCAGCGCCGGCGCGGGGAUCUGGGCGACGGCGGCGGGGCCAGGUCCUGGAGGCAACCCCGGCUGUGCUUGGUUGUAGUGGUCGCGAGAUGGAGCCGCGGGCGCGAGGACCUGGGUUAGGAGCUGGUCGUAGACGCCGGCGCGACGACCUAGGCUUGGUCGUGGUGGCCGCUCCCCCACGACCCUGCCGACGCCGGCGCGAGUUCCUGGAGGCCAACCCCUGGCUGGGCAUGGCGUAGUGGUGGACCAACGGAGCAAGAAAAGUCACAACGUAGGGGGAGCAACGUCGUCAUCAACUUUGAAGGCCACGUUGUUGCAAUCUUCCAAAUGUGCUAGCAGCAAAAAAAGAUGAGUGCAUGUUGUUAAUCUUCUUGAAACAAAACUCUCCUUUUUUCAAAUUGCUUUACUAACCAUUCUCUGUUUUUCAAGGAUGAGUAAAUUACAGGCAAGCAGGAACCAACAGCUGCUUCUUCCAUCGAUUCUGCAAUCCCCGGUCCAUAUUUUUGCUGAUAACUAUCCAUCAGUUCCUAGUUUGUAUAGAGGCUGAACUUCUUGUUUCAAAUACUUGGAGAACGCUUUUGAUCCAGUGGCAACUUACGGGAAUAAUAAUGUAUGUUAUAAUGUCACUGAAGGGAGUUUCACAGUUUGUAUUGUAUGUCAUGGACGCUGUCAGAUUAUGGUCAAUCCAUUUCAUGUAGUUUACUUUCA